AAAGCCCCCCCAAACGUUCUUCAAAAAGAUCCUAUACUUUAACAUUGCCUUUUCCACUAAUUUUGAGGUCAGUGUGUGAGUCACAGGAGUGAUGUAAAUGGUCAGAAAUCAGGUCACUUCAUCGUCAUAACCCUCCCUUUAAGGCGGUAGUGUCUGCAUUCUGAUACGUCAUUCAUGCGCAAAAAAUUCCCCCACCCCCGUACUUCAAAAAGCUCCUAUACUUUAACAUUGCCUUUUCCACUAAUUUUGAGGUCACGGUGUGGGUCACAGGAGGGAUGUAAAUGGUCUUAAAUCAGGUCACUUCAUCAUCAUAACCCUCCCUUUGAGGCGGUCAUUUCUACAUUCUGAUAUGUCAUUCAUGCGCAAAAAAUUCCCCCACCCCCGUACUUCAAAAAGCUCCUAUACUUUAACAUUGCCUUUUCCACUAAUUUUGAGGUCAAGGUGUGGGUCACAGGAGGGAUGUAAAGGGUCUUAAAUCAGGUCACUUCAUCGUCAUAACCCUCCCUUCGAGGCGGUCAUGUCUUUAUUCUGAUAUGUCAUUCAUACGCAAAAAAGCCCCCCCAAAUGUUCUUCAAAAAGAUCCCAUACUUUAACAUGGCCUUUUCCACUAAUUUUGAGGUCACGGUGUGGGUCACAGGAGUGAUGUAAAUGGUCAGAAAUCAGGUCACUUCAUCGUCAUAACCCUCCCUUUAAGGCGGUAGUGUCUGCAUUCUGAUAUGUCAUUCUUAGUCUAAAGAGCCCCCUCAAAUGUCCCCAAAAAAGCUCCUAUACUUUUAACAUUGUCCAAAAUCCAAAAACUCUCCAUGUCCAAAAUGUGCGUAAGCCAGCUCCUUAGGUCAACUCAAAGUUGCCCACAUUUCCCCACUACUUUUUCCUUUAUAAAUCCCAAAGUUUGAAUGGCAAGUUACUUUUGCAGUUUUGCAACCCCAUUUUGUGGGUAAGCAAGCUUUAUAAAUGACACCCCAGGCCACUAUAAAACUUACUGAUGUACAUCUGCAGCAUGCAAGGACCAUUUACAGGGGUUGAUUUUAUUUGUCACAGUUUUCACCCCUUCAGAGUUUGUAGGUAUGAACGUUCUUGUUCUCUGCACCAUCACAGUUGAUUCAUUGGUUGAGCCCCAAUACAUAAAAAAUAAAUUAAAUGAACAGGAUAAAUAUUAUAUAUAUAAUGUGUGUGUAUGUAUGUAUGUGUGUGUAAGCUGUUGAAAUAUAUGCUCAUAUAUUUAUUAAUAAAUAUCUAAUAUAUACAUAUGAGACUCACAUGGUCAAGUGUGAUUUUAGUUUUCAGCAGAAACAGACUUUUUUGGGAGUGGGGGUGGGGAGUGGCUCUGCACCUGCACUGGACAGGGGAGCAAAAGUUCAUGAUGCAUUCAGGGAAAAUUGGUGUGUCCAACUAUACUGAAAUAAAAACAUCUAAAGAGGUUUAUUUGUGAAUGCUAUGAGUUUUCUGUAAAAUGAUUAUUGCUUAAAUAUUGCACAUGAAAUUAGCUCAUGCCUGAAGUCUGUUAAGACAUUAUCAGCUGGAAAACCCUAAAUUUUUAAUGUAUCAAGUUUGCAGUCUCAUUGUUCGUGAAAGCAGCAUGUGCAUUGUAAAUGGAAAGUACCGGAGCUGCCCUGGAUCUCUCCAACUUUGUCAGUCUUUGACUAAUUCUACAGAGGAAAAGAGGAAUAACUCCACAGCCCAAAAAGGUAACAUAUAAUUUAAAAUAUUCCAUGAAAUCAUUUACACUUUUUUUAAUAAGACAAUUACAGCUCUUAUCAUGCUAAAACAAUUUGAACUGAAUUGAGCUGUGCUUGUGAGUUUUAGGUAAUUUUCUAUCAGAGACUAUUGUUUUCUUUCAACUUUAAGGUAUGUUUAAAGAAAUAAAGACACGCUUUACCUACUUACAUUUUUAAAACUUAUUUUUAAAUUAAAACAAAGUGGCUGUCUGCAUGGUAAAGCUACGGGGCCUGAAGUGAGCUGCAUUUGUGAGGACUCAAAGUGUAGUUUUCAGUAAUUUUGUAUCAGGGACAUGGUUUUGUCUUAUGUAACAUUAAUAAUGCUGUACAUUUCAACCAGAGCAGUGUUGUUCUAUUUUGUGAUAGGGUUCAUUAACAUUAUAAAAAGGAUUCAGUGUGAUGGAAGGUGUACAAUGAAAUCUAAAAAGAGAGAAAUAUUAUUUUGUUGGGAAAUCUAAUCUUUCAUAGGCAAUGUGGAUACAAUAAUCAGUUUUUGACAUUUAAAAAAAACCACUAGUGACGUGUUGGCCACGAACGAAACGGCUCUCAGAGCCGACUUGUUUAUGUGACCGUUAGGAGAAAGGUCCCUUCUGCAGGAACUGGCUCCCUCUUGGAGAAGUCAAAGUGAGUUACAUAGACUGUACCCGCAGGCCCUGGAGCCACUAGAACACAGCAAAACUUGAGCGCACAUGUGCAGCGGGCCUCAGUGAAGCUGACCUCCAGUAAAAGCAAAUAGGCUGUGCGGUUAGUUUCUGAGAUAUUACACUUUAUUUUAUAGGUUAUUCUUAACCCUAACCCAGACUGCACCAAAACAGUUCAAAGUAGUCUACUUUUUAGUGCUAUGUUUGUGCUGGUUUGUGCUGUUGAAAUAUAAUUUGUGUUGCUAUGGUUUCUGAGAUAUAACAAGUUUUAUUGUUGUGUGAUGCUCCAAAACAUUCCAAAAUAGUCUACAUUUUAGUUCUUCGUUUGUGCAGUUAAAAUUGGGGCGACAGUGGCACAAACCUAUUUGCUUUUACUUUUCAAGUGGGGGAGAUCAGCUUCACUGAGCUCCGAUGCUGUGAAGGCAGGGAGAGGGGUGGCAUGCACAAAAUGCCUGUGAGACAAAUUACAUUAACUGAUAAGACCUGUAAAUAUUGGUGGGGACAAAUCUGUAAGAGGAGAAAGGAAAAUCAAACAAAGCUUCAGAAAGGUGAGGACAUGAGUGAAAACAGGACAGGCACCAUGGUUUGGACAAAUUUUAACUACAGUGACAAUUAAAAGACAGAGUGUAGAUUGUGCAAAGGGUAAAUAUAUCCAAAAGGCUAUAAUAGUUCAAAACUAAUACAAAUUUUACUUGCAGAGUUUGUUUUUGUCAUUUAAAAUGUGUUUAUGUAGCUCUCUGCUUCAUGUUGAAUAAAAUAAGUUAUUUAAACAAUAAACACUUGAUAAAAUGUAUAUUGUAGAUUAGUAAUUCAGUUUACAUACAGUUUUAUAUAAUUUCUGGUGAUAAAUUCAUUUAGGAAACGAAAAAUAUGAGGAGCUGUUUAAGAGCCGAAAGAGCCGGUUCAUUUUAGUGAGCCGAGCUGUAAGACCCUAACCUAGCAGCAGCCAGAUCUCUACAGUAUGUGUAGCCUCGUGUAGAGUCUACACAUUUAGAUCUGGACUCUCUGCAGCAGAAACCGGCUGAAAGAGGGAGGGCUGUGUGGUAGAAUAUUUUGAACUGACUGAAGGACGCGCAAGGUAGUGCCCGGCUGGCACUAGCUGGCUGCUGCCAGGAUAGGGCUCUUGAUACGAUCGUCAAAACGAACUCCCACCCUACAGCAAAGUGCUGACACACAAUUGGAUUGACCCAUUUUGGGCCGGAUGCCGGACGCUUUUAACUAGUGAUGGGAACCCUGGAUCUUUUAAGAGAACCAGUUCUUACGGCCAGCUGUAACACACCAAACAUGGCUUUUUUGCUAGAUUGGUUAUCUACACUGAACAAAAAUAUAAACGCAACACUUUUGUCUUUGCUCCCAUUUUUCAUGAGCUGAACUCAAACAGUUGAAACUUUUUCUACAUACACCAAACACCCAUGACCCUCAAAUAUUAUUCUGAAAUCUGUCUACAUGUGUGUUCUCGAGCACUUUUUCUUUACCAAGAUAAUCCAUCCCACCUCAAAGGUGUGGCAAAUCAAGGGGCUGAUUAGACAGCUUGAAUAAUGUAAAGGAGUGCCUUAGACUGCCCUUCAUAUUUCAAACUUUGCUAACUUUAUUAAUAACUCUGCUAAAUAGUCAUAGCCAUAGUUCAAAUUAUUGAUAAACUUGUGUUAAAUCAUCUAAUCUGACAUCUUUCCAGACAUGCAGAGCCAAUGCCCCUCAGGAGCUGGGAUUCCAGAGGAUUUCAAUGAGAAAGAGAAAACAGCAUCUUUCAAAAGAUAAAAGCUGAGAAACAAAAGCAAUGGGCUCGACCAAAGUUCUGAAGAUGAACCCACCUUGUGCACCCAAAGGCCUACAGGGAAAUCAAAGAAGAAGCAGACCAACAAAGGAACACCCACCCAUUCCCCUUCCCUGCUCACUGUCCAUGGUUUUACUCAAGAUCAUCCAGAUAUGAUGAGCCAAGAACCUUCAGGAGCUGAGUGGUCUAAGGAGUCAAAUGGAAAGGACAAAACAGACAUGGAUCAACAGGAUUUAACCUCUAAGAAAUUCAACCGAAAGAUUUGGAGCAAAUCUGGGAAAGAAGCGGUUUGGCAACAGCUUGGUCGGUACAUCACUCUUGAAAGAGUUCCUGGUAAAAUGCUGUGUGUGAAAGCACUCAGUACAGAGACAGCACUUUAGAACAGAAGUUGGAAAGAUGUAAAAAACUGCAUCUAUAACCACAUCCCUGAUCAAAAAAGAAAAAGGCUGUAAUUUUUGCGUUAAAAGCAGCAGGAGCUGAGUUAAUGCAUGUAAUGUUACAAGCAGAGCAUUUAAUGAUACCUAGUUAUUUUUAUUUUAUGAGACAUUGGAAAUAUGUUAAAAACUAUAAUUAUAACAGCAUUGCAGAUCAAAAAUGUUACAAGCAGAGCAUUUUAUGGUACCUAAAGAUAUUUAAAUUUUAUUACAUGUUGGAAAGAUGUUAAAAACUAUAAGUAGAACAGCAUCACAGUAGCAUUGCAGGGAUUAAUCGUUUUGACUAUUAACCCUGGUUAACCCCAAGUAAAUAGAUCUUCAACACCAUCAAACUAAAACAAAAAGACAAUAGCGUAACUCGUAAGUACAAAAACAAAACUGAAACUGAACACGCGCCCGCAGCAGAAGCAUGAUCAGUGAAAACAACCAUCGGGACUCCUCCAUUUCUACCUCGGAAGAGGUUGAAUUCUCCUGUGUGGGAAUAGUUUAGAUAUAUUAGAUAUCAUCCCACACAGGAGACUUCAACCGCUUCUUAGGUGGAAAUGGAGGAGUCCCGAAGGUUGUUGUCACUGGUUCUGCUUCUGCUGCGUGAGCACGUUCAGUUUCACUUUUGUCUUUGUCCAUGAGGGUCAUGCCAUAGUCCUUUUUUAUUGUUGGUGUGGUAGACAUCUUUAAGGGGGGUUAUCAGGGGUUAAUAGUCAAACUGGUUAAUCUCUGCAAGCCUACAUCACAGCUCAAAAAAGAAAAAAAACUGUAGUUGAUAUGUUUUAUUUUAAAAGCAGCAGAAGCUGAGUUAAUGCAUGCAAUGUUAAAUGCAGAGCAUUUAAUGGUACCUAAAGUUGUAUUAAUUUAUUAGAAGUUAGAAAUAUGUCAGAACUACUAGUAGAGCAGCAUCACAGCUCAAAAAGAAAAUAAAAACAAUAUUUGAAAAUUUUCUUUUUCAAAGCAGAAGGAUCUGAGUUCAUUUAUGUAAUUUUAUGCACCGUGUUUACUUUAUUUGGUAUCUAAAAUUUAUAUUUUAUCAGCAGAUGAAUUAGAAAGAUUUUAAAAACUGCAUGUAUAACUGCAUUUUAGCUCAAAAAAGAAAAAAAGUAAACAUAUUAAAUUUUAAAAGAAACAGGAGCUGAGUUCAUAUAUGUAUGUAAUGUUUAAAGGUGCCUAAAGUUUAUUUUAGUUCAACUGUUGCAGUCACAAUUGCAAAGUUUAAUGAAAUCCUUUUUACUUCAAUAAAAUAACUACUUUGUAGUAAUUUCUGUCAUGUUUCCUGUUAUUUAUGGUCUGUAACUAAGAUUUACAGGGAGCUGCACGGCUGAAUGCAGUUUGAAUCCAGCUUAGUCUUUAUGGUGGUUGCAUAUUUUUCCUAUGUAUGUCUGGGUUCCUCCAGGAUAAUUUGAUACCUUUCACCAUCCAAAAUCAUUCUAUGUUUAUUAGUCGAUGAGCCGAUACCAAUAUUUGAUAUUAAUAUCACUGCUUCUGCAGUACUGCAGACGUUGUACCGAUCUGUCGUGGUGAAGAGAGAGCUGAGCCAGAAGGCAAAGCUCUCGAUUUACCGGUCGAUCUAUGUUCCUACCCUCACCUAUGGUCAUGAGUUUAGGGUAGUGACUGAAAGAACGAGAUUGCAGAUACAAAUGGCCAAAAAUAGUUUUCUCCGCAGGGUGGCUGGGCUCUCCCUUAGAGACCCGCUGCUCCUCCACAUCGAGUGGAGCCAGUUGAGGUGGCUAGGGCUUCUGGUUAGGAUGCUUCCUGGACGCCUCCCUGGUGAGGUUUUCCGGGCACGUCCAACCGGGAGAAGGCCUAAAGGAAGACCCAGGACACGCUGGAGAUACUAUGUCUCAUGGCUGGCCAGGGAACGCUUUGGGAUUCCCCCGGAGGAGCCGGCCCAAGUGGCUGGGGAGAGGGAAGUCUGGGCUCCCUUGUUUAGGCUACUGCCCCCACGACCCAACCCCGGAUAAGCGGACGACAAUGGAUGGAUGGAUGGAUGAUAUCACUGUUAUGGCCGAUAGCUGAUAUUUGCUGAUACAGAUAUACUGACAUGCUUCUAAAAUAAGCAAAUUUUGUACUGAUUGAAAAUUAUUAAAGCUGAAUUUACGUUGUUAUGUACACACACUACACACAUUUACGCUUAUGAGAAUAUUAAAAUAACUGUCACAUGGCUAAACAAAUACACACCACCCCCCUAACCAUCUGAAACAGAUAAACAAAUGGAAACAAAAUGGAAAAAAAAUAUUUGUUGUUAAUAUUGACCAAGUUUUAUUUAUCGGACCAAUACCAAUAUGUUAAAAAUAACUUAUUGAUGCAGAUUGUGCAUCCCUAAUGUUGAUGAUUGUCUGUCCUUUUAGUUUGCAGCAUUUGUGUGGUGCCUCGAUGAACUGUUACCUGCUCAGACUUCACCGCACAACUUGGAAUAGGGAAUUACAGAAAAAAUCCUUAUCUAAUAUUAUUUAAGCUAAAUCCUGGUGAAGGUUCUCCGAAAUGCAGUUUGUGUUAUUCCUUGUAGAUUUGGGUUGAGGCAACUGAGUUGUUUUGGUUAUUUGAAUAUGUUUCACUUCUUAUUUGAGGAGCUUUGUCAAUUCUGACCAGAAUAAGGAGAGGGAUAAGCUCCAAAAUCACACUACAAUACUUGGGCUUGAUGCUCCACUCAUUCCACUUUAAUAUUACAAAGCUCUUUGGAUUAGAAGCAAAACAUUUUGAAAGUAUAAAGAAAAUCUAGCAACUUACACACUCAAACAAGAAAAUAAUUAAGCUAAUAUAUUUUAUUUUUUCUUAAGAAAAACUAAAUAAAAAUUUUAAACUGAUAGAGUAUUUUAUAGGCAAACAUUAAAAGCUUCUCUGUGAUUCAAGAUGUUAAAAUUUUACUUUGCUAUUGCCAAUUUGAUAAUAAACAAGUGUUACAUAUUUGUAAAAACAGUUUGAUUAGUUAAAAUUGCUUUGAAAGUUUAAGAAUUUUUAAUUUUUCAUGUGGAAAUUUAAUCAAAAAUUGGUUAGGGAGGAAAUACAGAAUUGUGAGGACAUCACCUAAUCUGCCUAGCAACGGUUGUGGGUCCUCACAAGUACACCAAAUAAAUAUUUUUUUUACUUUGAUUUUUCAACAAUUUGAAGUGAGAUUCUGACUCUUCACUCACAUCUAGUGUCAGAUUUUCAUGGCCCAACACUACAGCUAUGCAGGAAGUGGAUGUCCUCACAAAGAUAGGUAGGGUCAGUGUCCUCACAAGUAUAUAUAUACAUGUAUGUGUGUGUGUGUGUGUGUGUGUG